ensembl:lncRNA
CGGGGAGCAGGGAGCAGGGUCAGAGAGCAGGGUCAGAGAGCAGGGUCAGAGAGCAGGGUCAGGGAGCAGGGUCAGCGAGCAGGGAGCAGGGUCAGAGAGCAGAGUCAGAGAGCAGGGUCAGAGAGCAGGGUCAGGGAGCAGGGUCAGAGAGCAGGGAGCAGGGAGCAGGGUCAGAGAGCAGGGUCAGGGAGCAGGGUCAGGGAGCAGGGUCAGAGAGCAGGGAGCAGGGUCAGAGAGCAGAGAGUAGGGAGCAGGGAGGCAGGGAGCAGGGAGCAGGGUCGGGAGUAGGGAGCCGGGUCAGAGAGCAGGGAGCAGGGUCAGAGAGCAGGGAGCAGGGUCAGGGAGCAGGGAGCAGGGUCAGAGAGCAGGGAGCAGGGUCAGAGAGCAGGGUCAGGGAGCAGGGAGCAGGGUCAGGGAGCAGGGUCAGGGAGCAGGGUCAGGG